UGUUUAACUGACAUGAUUGUGGGACGUCCUACCGGUGGAUUUAGCCUCUUUCUCUUCCGGGAGGGGAGGCGGUCCAGCUAAUAUCCCAUCGCGGUGCUUUUCAUCGAGUGUCGAGGUGGGCCGGUACGUUUACUUUGAACAAAUUAGAGUGCUCAAAGCAGGCCAUCCUCGCCUGAAUACUGUGUGCAUGGAAUAAUGGAAUAGGAAACCUCACCAGGCCCGGACACCGGAAGGAUUGACAGAUUGAUAGCUCUUUCUUGAUUCGGUGGGUGGUGGUGCAUGGCCGUUCUUAGUUGGUGGAGCGAUUUGUCUGGUUAAUUCCGAUAACGAACGAGACUCUAGCCUGCUAAAUAGGCGUUACUUCUGGUAUCUCGAAGGCCCUCGGCUUCGGUCGGGCGGUUUUUACUACCGACGUACUAACAAAUCUUCUUAGAGGGACAGGCGGCGUCUAGCCGCACGAGAUUGAGCAAUAACAGGUCUGUAAUGCCCUUAGAUGUUCUGGGCCGCACGCGCGCUACACUGAAGGAAUCAGCGUGUCCUCCCUGACCGAAAGGCCCGGGUAACCCGCUGAACCUCCUUCGUGCUAGGGAUUGGGGCUUGCAAUUAUUCCCCAUGAACGAGGAAUUCCCAGUAAGCGCGAGUCAUAAGCUCGCGUUGAUUACGUCCCUGCCCUUUGUACACACCGCCCGUCGCUACUACCGAUUGAAUGAUUUAGUGAGGUCUUCGGACUGGUGCGCGGUAAUGUAAUCUUUACGUUGCCGAUUGCGCCGGGAAGAUGACCAAACUUGAUCAUUUAGAGGAAGUAAAAGUCGUAACAAGGUUUCCGUAGGUGA
rnacentral:rRNA from 1 species